rnacentral:misc_RNA from 1 species
AAAAAAAAAAAACAGCGGAAGGCCUAAACUCUCACAGAGCUCUGAGCUUCGACCACUUUCGUCUCCUUCUCUCUUUCAGUCUCUCUCGUGCUUCUUGUUGUUAGCGGUGUGAACAUAAAAUGAACAACUUGGUGAUCAAACGCUUUCUGGACCCCUCAUUCUUUCGCUCCUUCUCCAGACCCACUGCUUCUCUUACUUUCUUGCUUUACCCGAGACGUGUGAGUCGUUCUCUGUCUCACUAUGUACUCGCUUGCCUAUAUAUGUUCUCAUAGUUUUUCGUACCUUGUCAUCUUGGGUUUAGGAUUUAUUGAGGUUUAAUUUUAAUCAGUAUGAAGUGUCAACUUUUUAGUGGGAUUUCGUUACUGGGUCAUUAAUUUUGAAGCGAACGUAGUUUCAGUGCCAUCAGUUGAGGAGGAUGGUGAAACAGUCAAUUUUCCUAGGGACAGGGAGGACACUGGAUUUGCAUGUGGUCUUAAUUGGGCUUUAGCUGGAAAAGGUGUAAUUGUGAAGGAUAAAGCAUUUAGAAACUUGAAGACUUCUGAGCUACGGCAGAAGGGUGCAACUGUUGCAGGUAAAUUUCUGCACCUUUUUUUCUAAUGCUAUUUCUAAACUAUAACUGAAUUUCUCUUAAUAUUUUUUGUUUCCUAUUAGAAUCUUUGUCAGGACUUCCCGUUCUUGUUAGAGGAAAUGCCCUUGGAGGAGCUUCUGAAAUUUCCAAGCCACAAUUUAGUAAACUGCUGAAACAUGCAUGUUUUUACCCUGUAAUUUCAACAUGUUUUACUGAUGUAUCCAAAUGGCCGUGUUCUCUGUUUUCACCUAAUAUUCAAUCUCUGCAGCUUUUGGAUCUCUUCAUGGAGUUCACAAGUGGAGAUCAGUCACAACACAUAUAUCAUCCGUCUCAGAUAUUUAUGUUCUUGAUGGUGCUAUUGCUUCAUCAUCAAAAUGCAGUGCAAAAGUUCGCAUAAUAAGUGAUAGUCCUUCUGCCAUAUUUAGUCUAUCCAAUGUACUCUGGAAAGUUCCCUCUCGUGCCAUUUCCCAUGAUUCUUGUCCUUUGACAGUUUAUGUUGCUUCGUCCAUAAGGUAGUUUAACCUUUCUAACAUUCAUUGCUUUGUUGCCUUGAGCAGCUUAUAGCUGAACAAAUUCAAGUUGCUUUUCUUGAAUGACUUUUAACUAUCUUCUUCAUGAUGCUAUAUUCAUCUUUUAAGGAUAUCCUUGGUCACCAGCUCAACUGAUAGGGAGUGGCUUUGUAUCUUAGCUUCAAAUCCAAGCAAACAAAAGAGAUCAUUUGGGGCCGUCAGUUCUUUUGGUUCUAUGUGAUGCAAUGAGUAACCACCAGUUUCCCUGUUAAUACAAAUAUAUAAUAUUGACUACAGAAACACCACCAGUGAUAUCAGCAGUGUAGUUUACUUAUUGCAUCAUUUCAGGGCUGAUUCGCAGUAUUAACGAGGCACAAAUGUUUUAUGCUCUUACAAAAUUAUUUUUCUGUAGGGAUAUAUCUGUUUAAUGUUUGAACUUUUGAAGGAUUAUGCAUGUGUAGUCAGUUCUUCCUUGAUGAGCUAUGAUGGGUGCAAAUGUUGAUGAAGAUGUUUCUUUUGUUGAUUUCUUUAUUUACCUUUUCGUCUUGCAGCCAAGGUGUGGUGGAUGCUGUUCGUCUGGGAGCUCAAGCUAAUGAGAAUGUUAUAGCUGCUGAUAUUGAUUGUGCUUCACUCAUUUUAUGUGGUAAAGCUUUUUCUGAUGCUAGUGCAACUAAAGAGGCACUAGCUACUUUGUCUGAACCUGUCAUAUCUGCACGAGGAGGCAUUCCUUUACCUGCAAGGCUUCUAGUUUCUGAUGACUCUGUGAUUCUACUAUUUGCACCUGAGGAUAUCAUCCAUAGCUGCGCAUAUCAGUUGGUCUCUGCGGAUUCAGGGGUUGUUCUUUCGUCACAGGAUGUUGCCCCAUAUUUUCCAAUUAAAAAUUCUUCAGGCCCUAGUCUUUUCAAAUUCCCAAUAGCUGUUGUCCUUGUAACCUCUGACAGUUCUGGGACUAUUCCAUCAAUAUCAAAGCUCUCACCUGGCCAAGCAGCUUAUCACUUCCUGGCUGGCUAUCAUAAUGGGAAAUUCAUGCCUGCAUACAACAAGGGUCCUUCAUCUGUAGAUGCCUUAGAACUUGCGAAGGCUUUUCUAUCCAAGUUGAAGGACAACCAAACCACAUCCUUCCUAAUUAAUGUCAAUGAAGGUGAAAAGAGUGUUACAGGCAAGGUUUUCCUGACAUUGGUGCAAUCAGCUUUGUCAAAGAACAUUCCAUCAUUUCAUCCCAAAGGUGGAGAUCUUAAAGGAAAAUACAAAAGCUUUUUAUCCUGUAAAUUUCAAGAAAUUCCAGAGGAGUUGUCAUUUUGAGAGUUGAAUCCCUUUGAUGCACAAGUUUUUCGCCUCACAUGGCGUAUGGUAUACAGUACCAAAAGUGGAAAUAAAAUUUCACCUGUAUAUACCCCAACAUAUAUCAGAGAUUUUUUUUUGUUUUUUUGCUUCCCUUUAAAUGAAGAAUGAAAGGAACAUUGGAAAAUUGAGAAUGAAUGUGAAACCCAAAAAGAGGUCUGCAGUUUCAGGAUCCACCAGGCACCAGCUUCUCCUAUUGCUGAAAUAGUUGGUACCAAUUAGAGGCUGAGGCUCCUCUCCUCAGCACCAUGUGUUGUCCAUUUUGUCGGUUAAAUAAAGAUUCAACUAAUUUGUAGCCGUGAGUUAUUACAUCAACAGCCAAACAAUUUCCAAA